rnacentral:rRNA from 1 species
AGGAAUAUUGGUCAAUGGGCGCGAGCCUGAACCAGCCAAGUAGCGUGAAGGAUGAAGGUCCUACGGAUUGUAAACUUCUUUUAUAAGGGAAUAAAGUCACCCACGUGUGGGUGUUUGUAUGUACCUUAUGAAUAAGCAUCGGCUAACUCCGUGCCAGCAGCCGCGGUAAUACGGAGGAUGCGAGCGUUAUCCGGAUUUAUUGGGUUUAAAGGGAGCGUAGACGGGUCGUUAAGUCAGCUGUGAAAGUUUGAGGCUCAACCUUAAAAUUGCAGUUGAUACUGGCGUCCUUGAGUACGGUUGAGGCAGGCGGAAUUCGUGGUGUAGCGGUGAAAUGCUUAGAUAUCACGAAGAACCCCGAUUGCGAAGGCAGCCUGCUAAACCGCCACUGACGUUGAGGCUCGAAAGUGUGGGUAUCAAACAGGAUUAGAUACCCUGGUAGUCCACACGGUAAACGAUGGAUACUCGCUGUUGGCGAUAGACUGUCAGCGGCUUAGCGAAAGCGUUAAGUAUCCCACCUGGGGAGUACGCCGGCAACGGUGAAACUCAAAGGAAUUGACGGGGGCCCGCACAAGCGGAGGAACAUGUGGUUUAAUUCGAUGAUACGCGAGGAACCUUACCCGGGCUUGAAUUGCAGACGAAUUGCUUGGAAACAGGCAAGCCGCAAGGCGUCUGUGAAGGUGCUGCAUGGUUGUCGUCAGCUCGUGCCGUGAGGUGUCGGCUUAAGUGCCAUAACGAGCGCAACCCUCGUGUCCAGUUACUAGCAGGUUAUGCUGAGGACUCUGGACAGACUGCCAUCGUAAGAUGUGAGGAAGGUGGGGAUGACGUCAAAUCAGCACGGCCCUUACGUCCGGGGCUACACACGUGUUACAAUGGGGGGUACAGAAGGCAGCUACCUGGUGACAGGAUGCUAAUCCCAAAAACCUCUCUCAGUUCGGAUCGAAGUCUGCAACCCGACUUCGUGAAGCUGGAUUCGCUAGUAAUCGCGCAUCAGCCAUGGCGCGGUGAAUACGUUCCCG